AUUGAACGCUGGCGGCAGGCCUAACUCAUGCAAGUCGAACGGUAACAGGAAACAGCUUGCUGUUUCGCUGACGAGUGGCGGACGGGUGAGUAAUGUCUGGGAAACUGCCUGAUGGAGGGGGAUAACUACUGGAAACGGUAGCUAAUACCGCAUAACGUCGCAAGACCAAAGAGGGGGACCUUCGGGCCUCUUGCCAUCGGAUGUGCCCAGAUGGGAUUAGCUUGUUGGUGGGGUAACGGCUCACCAAGGCGACGAUCCCUAGCUGGUCUGAGAGGAUGACCAGCCACACUGGAACUGAGACACGGUCCAGACUCCUACGGGAGGCAGCAGUGGGGAAUAUUGCACAAUGGGCGCAAGCCUGAUGCAGCCAUGCCGCGUGUAUGAAGGAGGCCUUCGGGUUGUAAAGUACUUUCAGCGGGGAGGAAGGGAGUAAAGUUAAUACCUUUGCUCAUUGACGUUACCCGCAGAAGAAGCACCGGCUAACUCCGUG
rnacentral:rRNA from 1 species